rnacentral:tRNA from 1 species
GCUGGCGUGGCUCAAUGGCAGAGCAGCUGAUUUGUAAUCAGCAGGUUGCAGGUUCGACUCCUGUCGCCAGCUCCA